UUCUGGCCUUGACAUCCAGAGAACUUUCCAGAGAUGGAUUGGUGCCUUCGGGAACUCUGAGACAGGUGCUGCAUGGCCGUCGUCAGCUCGUGUCGUGAGAUGUUGGGUUAAGUCCCGUAACGAGCGCAACCCCUAUCCCUGGUUGCUAGCAGGUAAUGCUGAGAACUCCAGGGAGACUGCCGGUGACAAACCGGAGGAAGGUGGGGAUGACGUCAGGUCAUCAUGGCCCUUACGGCCAGGGCUACACACGUGCUACAAUGGCGCGUACAGAGGGCUGCCAACUCGCGAGAGUGAGCCAAUCCCUUAAAACGCGUCGUAGUCCGGAUCGGAGUCUGCAACUCGACUCCGUGAAGUCGGAAUCGCUAGUAAUCGCGAAUCAGAAUGUCGCGGUGAAUACGUUCCC
rnacentral:rRNA from 1 species